AACCCAUAGCAAUCACAGUAGUGGCUAUGCAUAUGACAUGUUUUAAUUCUGCUUGUAACCACUUCAUGGUACGGUUAGCACUAAUCAUGGCCUUCGCUCGCCGCAACAGAGUGGGUUCUCAGAAAUCCAAGUGGCAACUGGACACCCUGUCUGCUAUGCAUGAGCUUAGACUGUGUCUCCAAGCAUGCUUAAUAAUUGUCUGAGAGUAGCAGUUUGCUCUUGUUUUAUGUAAGUGAAUUUCUCUACUGUCCUUCUGCAGGAUCCAAUUAAGCAGACGGACUCACCUAUUCUAACCUAUCUUCUUCCCAUCACUAUGUAGCAGGAAACCCCUGAAUGCAGUGUGCCUGGAAAUGGUCUUCUGAGGGACGAGCUAAGCAAACAGAAAUACCACUUCAACCACUGCUAGCAAAUGACAAGCUGCAUCCCUUCAUUCUUCUCAAAACAACCUGGCCCUUUGGUUUGGCAGGGUUGUUUGCAGGAGGAGAAAUGGAGUGUCUAAAAUAUGGCAUCCUUGUAUCUCAUUAGAAGUUUCUAUGGAUGUGAUGAUGAAUGCUGGUAUUGACUCCUGUUCAUCCCACCACUGAGCACAAACUGGAAGUGAAAAUGAAGAAGGAGGAGGUAGCAGCUGCAGUGGUCAUUCAGUUUCUCAAAUGGAGAUAGCCACAAAACUUGGGAGAGGCUGAGAAUCUCUAGGAGGCAGCAUUUGCACAGAACUAUAAGGAGAGAAAGAGGAGAUGUGCACAUAUUUUCUUAUGCCUUUUUCAAUAUGCCCUGAUCUCUGAUAACUUCCUUCUCCCUACAGUGUGUACAGCAUGAAGGCACAUGGAAGAAAAUUCCAUCCAGGAGGAAUGACUUCACAGGCUGUAAAAUAUUGCUUCUGCCCUGGCAACAAUUUUUAAUAAAGCUGGAUGUUUUUAGCAGCUAAAGUCAAAUUUGUCUUUAGCAUCCUCCCCAUUUUAGAAACAGGACUGAAUAAACAAUUCCUGUCACACAAGAAAACUCUCUUGCUCAUUGGAAUUGGUGGGCUCUUCGGCACCCUUCCUUGGACAAUGGCCACAAAACAUCACAAGACGCUGGCUGGGAACUUCAUCGGCCGAGAAGCAUGAUGUAUCACCCUCAGGAGGCACUACAGCAGUUCCAAGGGACGCACAGUUAUAUCAAACCAAGCUGAAGCUAAACUUUUUCUGAGAAAGGACACAUUUGCUUUCAGUAAAAACAUUACUGU
rnacentral:lncRNA from 1 species